rnacentral:rRNA from 1 species
AAUUUUGGACAAUGGGGGAAACCCUGAUCCAGCCAUCCCGCGUGUAUGAUGAAGGCCUUCGGGUUGUAAAGCUCUGUCUUCGCUGACGAUAAUGACGGUAAGCGAGGAGGAAGCCACGGCUAACUACGUGCCAGCAGCCGCGGUAAUACGUAGGUGGCAAGCGUUGUCUGGAAUUACUGGGCGGAAAGAAUGCGUAGGCGGCUUUUUAAGUGGGAUGUGAAAUCCCUGGGCUCAACCCAGGAACUGCAUUCCGAACUGGAGAGCUAGAGUGUGGGAGAGGAAAAUGGUAUUCCCAGUGUAGCGGUGAAAUGCGUAGAGAUUGGGAGGAACACCAGUAGCGAAGGCGAUUUUCUGGAACAUAACUGACGCUGAGGCAUGAAAGCGUGGGGAGCAAACAGG